UACGGAGGGUGCAAGCGUUAAUCGGAAUUACUGGGCGUAAAGCGUGCGCAGGCGGUUUUGUAAGUCUGACGUGAAAUCCCCGGGCUCAACCUGGGAAUUGCGUUGGAGACUGCAAGGCUAGAAUCUGGCAGAGGGGGGUAGAAUUCCACGUGUAGCAGUGAAAUGCGUAGAGAAGUGGAGGAACACCGAUGGCGAAGGCAGCCCCCUGGGUCAAGAUUGACGCUCAUGCACGAAAGCGUGGGGAGCAAACAGG
rnacentral:rRNA from 1 species